CCCCGCCUAGGCAGCCAGUGGACACCUGCAUCCGCCUGCAAGACUGGAAGCAGGUCAGCGCAUGGACAGUUUCCCAGAAAGCGACAAACACUGUGAAGUUUGACGGUCUGGAAAACGGAGACCAACCGCGCUGACUACCUGGGAGCACCGAGACUCAGGACAGCGCCGCUCGGGGUCCAGGAAGGGAGCCACAAUCUGCUUCAGCACCAGGGCUCCGGACAGCUCCUAGGGGUUCCCGGAGCCGACUUCAUUUCAGAACCAGGACACUGGACAGCUUCCCUGGUACCGGGAAGCCCCU